rnacentral:rRNA from 1 species
GACAGAGGGUGCAAACGUUGUUCGGAAUUACUGGGCGUAAAGCGCGUGUAGGCGGCCAUGCAAGUCGGAUGUGAAAGCCCUCGGCUCAACCGGGGAAGUGCACUCGAAACUGCAAGGCUAGAGUCUCGGAGAGGAUCGUGGAAUUCUCGGUGUAGAGGUGAAAUUCGUAGAUAUCGAGAGGAACACCGGUGGCGAAGGCGGCGAUCUGGACGAUGACUGGACGCUGAGACGCGAAAGCGUGGGGAGCAAACAGG